GUUUUUUCCGGAUGUCGUGAAUCACGUUUAAUUAAUUGCAAUUGCAAUUGCAUGAAUGCAUACUCGUAUUGUAAAAUUGUUAUUCACAAACUUUUCACCUGCUAAUAAUUGCAAUUAUUACUAUGCAGUGCAACACCUAUUUCUGUGUAUGUAUGCAUGAGAUUACAAUGGGCGCCAGUGCUGAUAAUGGGUGAGCAGAGUGUGCAAUUUGAGUCGAUUAACGUAUACUCGAUGCCGACCUCUGACGUGUGAUCCGGCGCCAUUGGCCGUCUGUCGAUUAUGGAAUCGUCUGGCAAUCAGUACGUACGUGAGGUGCCUAGGUGCAUUUGGAUUGGAAUUGCCUUCAGCUGAUGUCUUGACACCGACAGCAGAUCACAGUCGACAAACCACAACUCACGUGUUCCGGCAAAAAAAAAAGAUCUUCUGGCCAAAAGUCGACCAUUUAAAGAUGAAAAUAGUAUUUCAAAAAUUGACUAUAUGUCGAGAGUAUUUAUUCCACGACAAAAUGCUAAGAAAGCAGAAGGGAGCCGGAGGGAGCCAUUAUUUAUUUCCCUUAAUUGACUUUUCUCUUGGACAACUCAUUUAACGGAGUCUGCAAAAAAGGAGAAUAUCAAUUCAAUGAUUUAUUCAGCAUUAUUUAUUUAUUUUAACACAUUUAUGUCAUUUCAGCUCAGUCUAUUUGGGCUUCGAACCUCUCUGACCACAUCAGUGGUCGAAAAUAGCUCAGCCUAGGCUCUAUCAAUAUUAUAACUUACUCAGAAUAGUUGCCCAUACAUUGUUUGCUAUGGCAAAUUACCAUAUGUAGCAAUUGACCUCUUUGCAUAUAAAAAUAUUUUCUUUAAUCAAACGCAACAACCCAAGAAUUAAUCAAUUAAAAGACGACUGCUUGUUAGCCACAUUAAAAUAUAGUUGAAAAUUAAAAAUCCAUUUCGCAAAUGUUGCUUGUGCAUCACUGCCACUUGGACGUAGGCAGUCGAGCGAGCCAACUGUGAAAUACUCUUAUAACAAUCAAUGACACCAUCCUAGUAAUCUAUCUUCCAAGUUUGCCUUUGAAAAAAAUAUUAGUGAAAGUUCUUCCUUUCAAGUUCGGUAAAUGUAGGUCUUAAAUUACGGUAAAUAUAGACUUUGUGAAUUUUUGGGAGCGAGAAAAAAUUAUUGAGAAGAUACCUAGUAAUCUUCUUCCCAUUUUUGGUUUGUAGCGUUUUUAUAGAUCUCUUAGGGGAGUUACUAGUAUCAGAAACCAGUACUACACCUACAAAAUUUUGACGGCUCUAACUCAAUAACUGCGGAAGACAUACCCAUUUCAAUAUUUGAGCCUGGGGCAGCAGAGAUGGGCGUUGCAUAUGCCGUCGAAAAAAGUUGCAUUCAUACAGACGGACGAACAGCGUGACGGACAUUGCACAAAACCAAUAUAGUAUGGUUCCUUUGGUUUCAAAGUAUACAAAUUUGGGAAGCUUAAAGCGCUAAUGAAUAACAGAGCAGAGCAACAAAUUUCAGACCACUGCUGCAACAAGGCGUUGCAUAGAGCCCCAGCGACGUGCAACAUAUGUUGUGUAAUUAACAACAGUCAAAUUCGAAUUACAGGCACAAAAUUGAAAACAACAUAAAACAGAAGCCAGCUGCAAAUAUUACAAAAUCCGACAAAUUAUCUUCUUUAUAUGCCCUGUACUCUUCAAAAUUAAUAAAACGGGUAUAGUAAAGCUUUUCAU